UACAGAGGUCCCGAGCGUUGUUCGGAUUCAUUGGGCGUAAAGGGUGCGUAGGCGGCGCGGUAAGUCGGGUGUGAAAUCUUGGAGCUUAACUCCGAAACUGCAUUCGAUACUGCCGUGCUUGAGGACUGGAGAGGAGACUGGAAUUUACGGUGUAGCGGUGAAAUGCGUAGAUAUCGUAAGGAAGACCAGUGGCGAAGGCGGGUCUCUGGACAGUUCCUGACGCUGAGGCACGAAGGUCAGGGGAGCAAACGGG
rnacentral:rRNA from 1 species